GGUCCACGUGUCAAACAUAAUAAUGACCAAUUCUCUCUUCCUUCUCCUACAAAAAGCCUAGUAUUUCUUCUUUCAUCAAGACAAAAAUCACUUGCUUUAAUUUACUAAUCACACAAUUUCUCAACUUCUCGUAUUACUGCUAAGUCUUUCAAAUUCAAACAAAAAUGUCUUGCAACGGAGGAAACUGUGGUUGUGGUUCUGGCUGCAGUUGCGGCAAUGGUGGAGGGUGCGGCAUGUACCCUGAUUUGGAGAAGUCCACUACAGUUACAAUCAUCGAGGAGUUGCCAUGAAAACAAAGUAAUGGUUGAGGGAUCAGUUGAGAAAGCAACAGAAGGAGGGCAUGGCUGCAAGUGUGGAUCAAGCUGCCAGUGUGACCCUUGCAACUGUUGAAGUUCUACUAUACUGCUUCCACUAUGAGCAUGAAAAUAAUAAAUUGUGUUUAUGUAUUAAUUAAGUGUGUUAUGUAAUAUUGUGGAAUUAAAGUUUUUGUAUAAUAAUUUGAAUAAGACUACAGCCAUGUAAUGGUGUUGGAUGUUGCUCUCAUGGCUUUUCUGUUUGGUUGGAUUUAAGACACAAUGAAUGAAGGAGACAACUUAUAUAUUGCACAUUAAUAAGGUUUGUGUUACAGCUCAGAUAAGCAGCUUCCUUCAGACAAACAUUAAAUUAAACAACCAAACAGAAAAGCCAUGAGAGUAACAUCUAACACUAAUACAUGGCCUUAUUCAAAUUAUCAUACAAAA